rnacentral:rRNA from 1 species
GAUGAACGCUAGCGAUAGGCCUAACACAUGCAAGUCGAGGGGCAGCAUAGAGUAGCAAUACUUUGAUGGCGACCGGCGCACGGGUGAGUAACACGUAUGCAACCUACCUACAUCAGGGGAAUAACCCGGAGAAAUUCGGACUAAUACCGCAUAAUACAGGGAUGCCGCAUGGCAAUAUUUGUUAAAGAUUUAUCGGAUGUAGAUGGGCAUGCGUUCCAUUAGCUGGUAGGUAAGGUAACGGCUUACCAAGGCAACGAUGGAUAGGGGAAACUGAGAGGUUUGUCCCCCACACUGGAACUGAGACACGGACCAGACUCCUACGGGAGGCAGCAGUGAGGAAUAUUGGUCAAUGGACGAGAGUCUGAACCAGCCAAAUCGCGUGAAGGAAGACUGCCCUACGGGUUGUAAACUUCUUUUGUACAGGAAUAAAAGACAUUACGUGUAAUGUAUUGCAUGUACUGUACGAAUAAGCAUCGGCUAACUCCGUGCCAGCCGCCGCUGUAA